rnacentral:rRNA from 1 species
AUUGAACGCUGGCGGCAUGCCUUACACAUGCAAGUCGAACGGCAGCACGGGGCAACCUGGUGGCGAGUGGCGAACGGGUGAGUAAUGCAUCGGAACGUACCUUUCAGUGGGGGAUAACGUAGCGAAAGUUACGCUAAUACCGCAUAUUCUGUGAGCAGGAAAGCAGGGGAUCGCAAGACCUUGCGCUGAUUGAGCGGCCGAUGUCAGAGUAGCUAGUUGGUGAGGUAAAGGCUCACCAAGGCGACGAUCUGUAGCGGGUCUGAGAGGAUGAUCCGCCACACUGGAACUGAGACACGGUCCAGACUCCUACGGGAGGCAGCAGUGGGGAAUGUUGGACAAUGGGGGCAACCCUGAUCCAGCCAUGCCGUGUGAGUGAAGAAGGCCUUCGGGUUGUAAAGCUCUUUCGGCCGGGAAGAAAUCGCACGGGCUAAUACCCUGUGUGGAUGACGGUACCGGAAUAAGAAGCACCGGCUAACUACGUGCCAGCCGCCGCAGUAAGAC